rnacentral:misc_RNA from 1 species
CAGAAACAUUCAUUAGUUCAAUUUGAUUUGUCUGUAUCUUUAAUUUCUUUGGCCUCAUAAUUGAACUACUGUUAAGAUACAUAAUUUGUUUGCAUGUCUAGACAUGGCCCAAAUGCAGCAGCUAGGCUUUUUGGUUCAUUAUGACUGACUGGUAUAGGCAUAUGGAAUUUGUAUGCAUGUACACAUUGUGUCCAAAACACAGCUUAUAGCUGCUAGGUUUUCAG